rnacentral:rRNA from 1 species
GUCUGGCCUGCCCGGUGAAUAUUUAACGGCCGCGGUAAAUUGACCGUGCAAAGGUAGCAUAAUCAUUAGUCUUUUAAUAGGAGUCUGGUAUGAAAGGUUUAACGAAACAUAAUCUGUCUCAAAUUUUAUGGAUUGAAUUUAGCUUUUAAGUCAAAAGGCUUAAAUUUAUUUGAUGGACGAGAAGACCCUAUAGAUUUUUACAUAGUUUUUCAUUAUUAUCUAGUUGAUUUAAAAUAGAUAUGAUUUUUAUCUUUGUUUAGUUGGGGUGACUAUAAAUAUAUAACUAACUUUUAUAUCUUAUAUUCAUUGAUUUAUGAUUAUUAGAUCCAUUAUUAUUGAUUAAUAGAAUAAAUUACCUUAGGGAUAACAGCGUAAUCUUCUUUUGGAGUUCAAAUUUACAAGAAGGCUUGCGACCUCGAUGUUGGAUUAAGAUAAUUAUUAGGUGCAGUAGCUUAAUUAAUAGGUCUGUUCGACCUUU